rnacentral:sRNA from 1 species
AGAAGGAUUUUUAAAAAUGUGCCUUAAUUAGCUUAGUCAACGAAAAUUCGUGAUUAAAUUGAAAGUCAACAUAAACUUGAAGGUUUAAAUCACCAAGUCCAGAGUUUAUGCUUUAAACCAACGAAAAUGGUAAAGUGAUGAUUUAAAUGACAUUUUUCCCGUUAAAAUUGAGUGUAUUAGGCAGUUUAGGAGAAUGUGUAUAAAAUGUUCUUUAUUGACCAGCAAUUGUGAAUGUGAUUAAUGUUUUCUGUAUAAGUAAACUCAUCUUGCUUAUAAGGUACUUUGUUGU